rnacentral:rRNA from 1 species
CUAUACAUGCAGUCGAGCGAAUGGAUUAAGAGCUUGCUCUUAUGAAGUUAGCGGCGGACGGGUGAGUAACACGUGGGUAACCUGCCCAUAAGACUGGGAUAACUCCGGGAAACCGGGGCUAAUACCGGAUAACAUUUUGAACCGCAUGGUUCGAAAUUGAAAGGCGGCUUCGGCUGUCACUUAUGGAUGGACCCGCGUCGCAUUAGCUAGUUGGUGAGGUAACGGCUCACCAAGGCAACGAUGCGUAGCCGACCUGAGAGGGUGAUCGGCCACACUGGGACUGAGACACGGCCCAGACUCCUACGGGAGGCAGCAGUAGGGAAUCUUCCGCAAUGGACGAAAGUCUGACGGAGCAACGCCGCGUGAGUGAUGAAGGCUUUCGGGUCGUAAAACUCUGUUGUUAGGGAAGAACAAGUGCUAGUUGAAUAAGCUGGCACCUUGACGGUACCUAACCAGAAAGCCACGGCUAACUACGUGCCAGCAGCCGCGGUAAUACGUAGGUGGCAAGCGUUAUCCGGAAUUAUUGGGCGUAAAGCGCGCGCAGGUGGUUUCUUAAGUCUGAUGUGAAAGCCCACGGCUCAACCGUGGAGGGUCAUUGGAAACUGGGAGACUUGAGUGCAGAAGAGGAAAGUGGAAUUCCAUGUGUAGCGGUGAAAUGCGUAGAGAUAUGGAGGAACACCAGUGGCGAAGGCGACUUUCUGGUCUGUAACUGACACUGAGGCGCGAAAGCGUGGGGAGCAAACAGGAUUAGAUACUUUGUGGUAGUCC